rnacentral:misc_RNA from 1 species
AAGUCGUAACAAGGUUUCCGUAGGUGGAAGGAUCAUUAACACGUAUCCAACGUUAAACCCCCCGUGCACACAGCGACCUGCUCCCCUCAAUUUCGGUCUUUUGGCAAUCCCUGGUAAAUCAUCGCCGAACAGUUUUGAUUCAGGGACAUCCAAAGGGCCGGGGUAGGGUAUUAAAGUAGUCAAUGCUGGUUUCUUUGAAGCAGAAAGUGUGAUGGCGUGAGCCGGAGAACGGACCAAGUGGUAGUUCAAAGGUGCCUUCUGUCGCGCACUGUGGAAAGGAAGACGCUACGAAUCACUGUCCAACUCCUAGACCCCAUUCACCACCACAGUCGCAGACGAGGUAGGGAUACGUCCCUACCACCAAAUAAAUACUUGAACAACUGUUAACAAUGGAUAUCUUGGUUCUC